UACGGAGGGGGCUAGCGUUGUUCGGAAUUACUGGGCGUAAAGGGCACGUAGGCGGCUUUGCAAGUUAGAGGUGAAAGCCCGGGGCUCAACUCCGGAAUUGCCUUUAAAACUGCAUCGCUAGAAUUGUGGAGAGGUAAGUGGAAUUCCGAGUGUAGAGGUGAAAUUCGUAGAUAUUCGGAAGAACACCAGUGGCGAAGGCGACUUACUGGACACAUAUUGACGCUGAGGUGCGAAAGCGUGGGGAGCAAACAGG
rnacentral:rRNA from 1 species